rnacentral:rRNA from 1 species
GGCCUUGACAUACUAAGAACUUUCCAGAGAUGGAUUGGUGCCUUCGGGAACUUUAGAUACAGGUGCUGCAUGGCUGUCGUCAGCUCGUGUCGUGAGAUGUUGGGUUAAGUCCCGNAACGAGCGCAACCCUUUUCCUAUUUGCCAGCGGGUCAUGCCGGGAACCUUAAGGAUACUGCCAGUGACAAACUGGAGGAAGGCGGGGACGACGUCAAGUCAUCAUGGCCCUUACGGCCAGGGCUACACACGUGCUACAGUGGUCGGUACAAAGGGUUGCUACCUCGCGAGAGGAUGCUAAUCUCAAAAAGCCGAUCGUAGUCCGGAUCGCAGUCUGCAACUCGACUGCGUGAAGUCGGAAUCGCUAGUAAUCGCGGAUCAGAAUGCCGCGGUGAAUACGUUCCCGGGCCUUGUACACACCGCCCGUCACACCAUGGGAGUUUGUUGCACCAGAAGUAGGUAGUCUAACCGCAAGGAGGACGCUUACCACGGUGUGGCCGAUGACUGGGGUGAAGUCGUAACAAGGUAAGCGUAGAUGA